rnacentral:tRNA from 1 species
GCCAUCUUAGCUCAGCUGGCCAGAGCACGUGACUUGUAAUCUCGGGGUCGUCAGUUCGAAUCUGACAGAUGGCU